GAUGAACGCUGGCGGCGUGCCUAAUACAUGCAAGUCGAGCGAACGGACGAGAAGCUUGCUUCUCUGAUGUUAGCGGCGGACGGGUGAGUAACACGUGGAUAACCUACCUAUAAGACUGGGAUAACUUCGGGAAACCGGAGCUAAUACCGGAUAAUAUUUUGAACCGCAUGGUUCAAAAGUGAAAGACGGUCUUGCUGUCACUUAUAGAUGGAUCCGCGCUGCAUUAGCUAGUUGGUAAGGUAACGGCUUACCAAGGCAACGAUGCAUAGCCGACCUGAGAGGGUGAUCGCCCACACUGGAACUGAGACACGGUCCAGACUCCUACGGGAGGCAGCAGUAGGGAAUCUUCCGCAAUGGGCGAAAGCCUGACGGAGCAACCCCGCGUGAGUGAUGACGGUCUUCGGAUCGUAAAACUCUGUUAUUAGGGAAGAACAUAUGUGUAAGUAACUGUGCACAUCUUGACGGUACCUAAUCAGAAAGCCACGGCUAACUACGUG
rnacentral:rRNA from 1 species